GCAUCCUUGCCCAGCCGCGUUUCUGUCACCCAUCAACUGUUCCGUCGCUGGAGGAGUAUCACGAAGGCGAGAGAGAGAGAGAGGGAGGGCGUCGCGCCUGUCACGAGUUCGCCGCCACCACCGCGCCAUCGCCAGAAAGAGCAGAAUCGACAUGGGGUUGGCUCGCGAGUGGGGGUGGUCGCGAGCUUGGAGCCGCCGCACCAUCGUCACUACUGCGUCCACGCUGGUUGUCGCCGCCGUGAUGCACUCGAGGGGAGAGAGGUCACACUGGAAGGUUGGCCGUCAGGGGCGCUGUUGCUGCGAACCAGCCGCCGCCGUGCAUUCUCGUUGCCGCCACUGACCGGCCAAGUCGCCUCGCCAUGGUCACCGUCGUGGGUUUUGCUGGUGGUGAGGAAGGGACGCUGCCUUGUGACAUCGCGGCGUGCUUGGGCACUGUUGCUGUAAGCGCGCCAUCACCGGAGCUGGGUGGUUGCUGUCAUGGGAACCGUGAAAGAAGGAAGGAGAGGUCGUGCCGCUGUUCUGGCCGCCAGAGCUUCUGGCUGCCCUUGCCGUCGCCGGAAAAGUCUAUCGGUAAGGGUCUUAAGUUGGUUCCCCUUUCCGUUGAGUUUCUGGAAACCUCACUGUCACUGCAUAUGGUUCAGGUCAUCGCUGCCGCUUGAGGUGGCUGCCGGGCUGCCGCCAAAUCGGUUCGGAGACCGCCGCUGUUUCGGUUCAGCCGUUCCUUCUUCGGUUCGGUAAGCGUUUAGAUUUGAAAGCCUUUUAGUUACCGUUCUGUUAUCAUACGCUGAGGUUUGUGGCGUUAAUUGCUAUAGGAUUGAUUUUGGUUGUUGUAUGUUGCGAUUCGAGUUGUUGAGACUGUUGCGAAAGUGGCUUGGAGCUGAGAUUUUGGUUGCCGUCAGUUCGGGUUGAGGCGGAAAGGACUCUAUGAGACAUUUGGAUUAUAGAAUUGCAUUUUGAGGAUAUGGGCGCAGAAGUUACGAAGAGUUUAUUUAGUUGUUGAUGAGAUGCUUGUAUUGCUUU